AGGACACUGGAGAAGAACUUUGAACUUGGUAACAAGCUGGAGCCAGAGAGGAAACUGCAGCUAGCCAGGGCCCUUGGAUUGCAGCCCAGACAGAUAGCCAUUUGGUUCCAGAACAGGAGGGCAAGGUGGAAGACAAAGACUCUAGAGAAGGACUAUGAGCUCCUCAAGAAGCAGUUUGAGGCCAUCAAGACAGAGAAUGAAACCCUACAAUCCCAGAACAAGAAGCUACAAGCUGAGAUCUCGGGUCUUAGAGGGAGAGAAGCACCAGAGCCCUUCAAUCUCAACAAAGAAACUGAGGGUUCAUGCAGCAAUAGGAGUGAGAACAGCUCUGAGAUAAACUUGGACAUCUCAAG
rnacentral:misc_RNA from 1 species